rnacentral:guide_RNA from 1 species
ACAUAUAAGGUAAGCAAGAGAUGAAGGUAAAUUAAA